AGGACGAACGCUGGCGGCGUGCUUAACACCAUGCAAGUCGAGCGAACCUUCGGGUUAGCGGCGAACGGGUGAGUAACACGUGGGCAACCUGCCCCGAGCUCUGGGAUAACCCCGGGAAACCGGGGCUAAUACCGGAUAUGACACCGACAGACAUCUGUCGGUGUGGAAAGUUUUUCGGCUCGGGAUGGGCCCGCGGCCUAUCAGCUUGUUGGUGGGGUAACGCCUACCAAGGCGACGACGGGUAGCCGG
rnacentral:rRNA from 1 species